rnacentral:rRNA from 1 species
CUCACACCGGUCUGAACUCAAAUCAUGUAAAACUUUAAAGGUCGAACAGACCUUCUCUUAUAGUCUCUACUCUAUAAAGAACCUUUAAUUCAACAUCGAGGUCGCAAACUCUCUUGUCGAUAAGAACUCUCAAAGAAAAUUACGCUGUUAUCCCUAAAGUAACUUAAUCUUUAAUCCCUUUUAGGAUCAAUAAUUCAAAUAUUAUUGUAAGAACAAAAGACAGUUAUCCUUUCCUUAUAUCCUUGUCGCCCCAACAAAACAAUUUAAAAUAGUAACCUUAAAAUAAAAUUUAUCUCCAUCUUAAAAUAUAAAGUUUUAUAGGGUCUUAUCGUCCCCUUAGAUCAUUUAAGCCUUUUCACUUAAAAGUUAAAUUCAAUAUAUUAAUUUAAGACAGAUUAUUUCUUGUCCAACCAUUCAUUCUAGCCUUCAAUUAAAAAACUAAUGAUUAUGCUACCUUUGCACGGUCAUAAUACCGCGGCCUUUCAGUUCUCCAAC